rnacentral:tRNA from 1 species
GGGCGGUUAGCUCAGUUGGGAGAGCGUUCGGUUUACACCCGAAAGGUCACUGGUUCGAGCCCGGUACCGCCCA